rnacentral:rRNA from 1 species
UACGAGAGGCCCAAACAUUAUUCGGAUUUACUGGGCUUAAAGAGUUCGUAGGCGGCGCGGAAAGUGGGGUGUGAAAGCCCUCGGCUCAACCGAGGAAUUGCGCUCCAAACUACCGUGCUUGAGGAAGCUAGAGGUGGGCGGAACUGAUGGUGGAGCGGUGAAAUGCGUUGAUAUCAUCAGGAACACCGGAGGCGAAGGCGGCUCACUGGGGCUUUUCUGACGCUGAGGAGCGAAAGCGUGGGGAG